GUGCUGCUGUGACAAAUAGGCUACUACAUCAAAUGGUUCUUCAUCUACAGUGGAUGUGGAAUAUUUAUGAGUUUAAAUGUUGUUUGUUCAUGUUUUAUCAAUAAUAAAAGGCAUUCCUAUA